rnacentral:rRNA from 1 species
CUACGGGAGGCAGCAGUGGGGAAUCUUAGACAAUGGGGGAAACCCUGAUCUAGCCAUGCCGCGUGGACGAUGAAGGCCUUAGGGUUGUAAAGUCCUUUCAGCUGGGAAGAUAAUGACGGUACCAGCAGAAGAAGCCCCGGCUAACUCCGUGCCAGCAGCCGCGGUAAUACGGAGGGGGCUAGCGUUGUUCGGAAUUACUGGGCGUAAAGCGCACGUAGGCGGACUGGAAAGUUGGGGGUGAAAUCCCGGGGCUCAACCUCGGAACUGCCUUCAAAACUCCCAGUCUUGAGGUCGAGAGAGGUGAGUGGAAUUCCGAGUGUAGAGGUGAAAUUCGUAGAUAUUCGGAGGAACACCAGUGGCGAAGGCGGCUCACUGGCUCGAUACUGACGCUGAUGUGCGAAAGCUAGGGGAGCAAACGGGAUUAGAUACCCUGGUAGUCC